GGCACAAGCAUCAAAAGGGAACGAGGUGAGAAUCCUCGACAGUACCCGCUGCUGUAAUUCACAACUCCCGCCCAGGGAGCGAAGUCAUUUGCAGAAUGUCACUGGUCCGUCGCGGACCGGGAAGGCGCAAAUGGCGGUGAUAAGUCAGAAGACCUGCCUUUUUCGUAU
rnacentral:ncRNA from 1 species